rnacentral:tRNA from 1 species
AAGGGAGACCUAAUUCCGGUAGGAGACGAAAAAAAAGUAGUCCCUACCAAGAAUCAAUCCCAAAAGGUCGAAGCGAGGCAAGAUUGGCUUUCAAACUAGGUUCUGGGUUCAAACAAGACCUGAAUCAGGAACAAGGGCUAUUAGCUCAGGUGGUUAGAGCGCACCCCUGAUAAGGGUGAGGUCCCUGGUUCGAGUCCAGGAUGGUCCACCUGCACAGGUGGCAAAAACAAAGAAGCGAGGAAUCAGCACCUUAUCUUACUCAUAUAGUAAGAGAGAAUGCUGGCUCUGAGUAAAGAGUCCAGAGGAACCUUGAAAACUGCAUAGAGCUAGGUGAAAAAGCCAAAAAAGAAGACCGCAA